rnacentral:rRNA from 1 species
AUUGAACGCUGGCGGCAGGCUUAACACAUGCAAGUCGAGCGGAGUGAUGGUGCUUGCACUAUCACUUAGCGGCGGACGGGUGAGUAAUGCUUAGGAAUCUGCCUAUUAGUGGGGGACAACAUCUCGAAAGGGAUGCUAAUACCGCAUACGUCCUACGGGAGAAAGCAGGGGAUCACUUGUGACCUUGCGCUAAUAGAUGAGCCUAAGUCGGAUUAGCUAGUUGGUGGGGUAAAGGCCUACCAAGGCGAGGAUCUGUAGCGGGUCUGAGAGGAUGAUCCGCCACACUGGGGCUGAGACACGGCCCAGAAUCCUACGGGAGGCAGCAGUGGGGAAUAUUGGACAAUGGGGGGAACCCUGAUCCAGCCAUGCCGCGUGUGUGAAGAAGGCCUUAUGGUUGUAAAGCACUUUAAGCGAGGAGGAGGCUCUUUUGGUUAAUACCCAAGAUGAGUGGACGUUACUCGCAGAAUGAGCACCGGCUAACUCUGUGCCAGCCGCCGCGGUAA